AGUGAACGCUGGCGGUAGGCCUAACACAUGCAAGUCGAACGGCAGCACAGGAGAGCUUGCUCUCUGGGUGGCGAGUGGCGGACGGGUGAGGAAUACAUCGGAAUCUACUUUUUCGUGGGGAAUAACGUAGGGAAACUUACGCUAAUACCGCAUACAACCUACGGGUGAAAGCAGGGGACCUUCGGGCCUUGCGCGAUUGAAUGAGCCGAUGUCGGAUUAGCUAGUUGGCGGGGUAAAGGCCCACCAAGGCGACGAUCCGUAGCUGGUCUGAGAGGAUGAUCAGCCACACUGGAACUGAGACACGGUCCAGACUCCUACGGGAGGAAGCAGUGGGGAAUAUUGGACAAUGGGCGCAAGCCUGAUCCAGCCAUACCGCGUGGGUGAAGAAGGCCUUCGGGUUGUAAAGCCCUUUUGUUGGGAAAGAAAUCCAGCUGGCUAAUACCCGGUUGGGAUGACGGUACCCAAAGAAUAAGCACCGGCUAACUUCGUGCCAGCCGCCGCAGUAA
rnacentral:rRNA from 1 species